rnacentral:lncRNA from 1 species
UGUGUUUUCAAUAAACGAGACAGUAAAUAUAAAAUACAAAAAGUUUUUGAUUCAAAAAUUAAUUUAGAAAUAAUUUUCCGUUGAAAACUACAAAGUAAGAUUUCUCCAACAGGAUAAAAUAUAAUAAAUCUAAAUUGCUCAUUUUGGAAAUUAAAACAAAGAAAAGGUUGUUGCCGGCAUUGAAAAUCGAAAUUUGUUUUCAAUCUUUCCGGUCACAGUUGUAGCUAAAUGAAAGGGAGCGAUUUUAUGUAAGAUAUUAUUCUUGGAGCAAUUGUUUUUGUCAUAAGUUAAAUUUACAACAAUUUAGUUUUAAACACCGAAAAUUUUGAUUUUAAUUCACAUUCGCUGAGUAUUAGUUUUAUUAAUAUGUUUGCCUUACAGCUAAUUUCCUAAUGCAUGUAGGGUAAAACUUUGGUUGGCUUCCUUGCU